rnacentral:rRNA from 1 species
UACGAGGGGGGCGAGCGUUGUUCGGAAUUAUUGGGCGUAAAGGGUGCGUAGGCGGUUUGGUAAGUCUGAUGUGAAAUCUAUGGGCUCAACUCAUAGUCUGCAUCGGAAACUGCCGGGCUUGAGUGUGGGAGAGGUGAGUGGAAUUCCUGGUGUAGCGGUGAAAUGCGUAGAUAUCAGGAGGAACACCUGUGGCGAAAGCGGCUCACUGGACCAUAACUGACGCUGAUGCACGAAAGCUAGGGGAGCAAACAGGG